rnacentral:rRNA from 1 species
GGAUGAACGCUGGCGGCGUGCUUAACACAUGCAAGUCGAACGGUGAAGCCAAGCUUGCUUGGUGGAUCAGUGGCGAACGGGUGAGUAACACGUGAGCAACCUGCCCUGGACUCUGGGAUAAGCGCUGGAAACGGUGUCUAAUACUGGAUAUGAGCUCUCAUCGCAUGGUGGGGGUUGGAAAGAUUUUUCGGUCUGGGAUGGGCUCGCGGCCUAUCAGCUUGUUGGUGAGGUAAUGGCUCACCAAGGCGUCGACGGGUAGCCGGCCUGAGAGGGUGACCGGCCACACUGGGACUGAGACACGGCCCAGACUCCUACGGGAGGCAGCAGUGGGGAAUAUUGCACAAUGGGCGGAAGCCUGAUGCAGCAACGCCGCGUGAGGGAUGACGGCCUUCGGGUUGUAAACCUCUUUUAGCAGGGAAGAAGCGAGAGUGACGGUACCUGCAGAAAAAGCGCCGGCUAACUACGUGCCAGCAGCCGCGGUAAUACGUAGGGCGCAAGCGUUAUCCGGAAUUAUUGGGCGUAAAGAGCUCGUAGGCGGUUUGUCGCGUCUGCUGUGAAAUCCCGAGGCUCAACCUCGGGCCUGCAGUGGGUACGGGCAGACUAGAGUGCGGUAGGGGAGAUUGGAAUUCCUGGUGUAGCGGUGGAAUGCGCAGAUAUCAGGAGGAACACCGAUGGCGAAGGCAGAUCUCUGGGCCGUAACUGACGCUGAGGAGCGAAAGGGUGGGGAGCAAACAGGCUUAGAUACCCUGGUAGUCCACCCCGU